UCUCCGUUGGUGAACCAGCGGAGGGAUCAUUAUCGAGUUUAUAACUCCCAAACCCUAUGUGAACUUACCACUUGUUGCUUCGGCGCGCGCUUCAGUGCCGCCGAGGACACUUAAACUCUUUGUUUUUAUAAGCAUUUCUGAGUGGCCGAAGGGCAAAAUACAAAUGAAUCAAAGCUUUCAACAACGGAUCUCUUGGUUCUG
rnacentral:misc_RNA from 1 species